rnacentral:rRNA from 1 species
AGGGCGAACGCUGGCGGCGUGCUUAACACAUGCAAGUCGAGCGGAAAGGCCUUUCGGGGUACUCGAGCGGCGAACGGGUGAGUAACACGUGAGUAAUCUGCCCAUCGCUUCAGGAUAGCCAUCGGAAACGGUGAUUAAUACUGGAUAUGACAUUCCUUCGCAUGUUGGGGUGUGGAAAGUUUUUUCGGCGGUGGAUGUGCUCGCGGCCUAUCAGCUUGUUGGUGGGGUAAUGGCCUACCAAGGCUUUGACGGUAGCCGG